GGUGGGAGUUGGGGGGGGGGGGGUCAACCCCUAAGACCUGUACUCAGUAUCUGGUCCUACCCGUUCUGCUGUUUUUGCAUUGUACACAGUUAUAACAAACCACGGUCCUGGAAAAUGUAUAGUAGAAAGCAUGUAGUUGAAAUCAUGGGUAGGCAAUAGGGGGGGUUGGUGUUGACCCUCAGUCAAUCAGAAGAAGACUAGUUCCACACUCUACACUUUAGUGCAGAUGAGCGAUUUGUUUGUUCAAGCCUGGUAAGCUGCAGUGUGAGCACUCAAAAUGAUUCAAACUGACAUCACAGUGGAAAGGCACAGCAGUGAUGUGUAGUUAACUGCUGGAAAAAAGUUAAAAAAGGAAUAAUAUCAAAUCAUGGUGCUGUUACACUUUAUAUUACUGCCACUGUGACUACUAUUACUCCUACCCCUUUAACUGCCCUACAAUUUGUUAGAGCACAUUACAAGUCACUAUAUUGAAUAAAAAAUGUGUCGACCUUGACAUAAUCUGAUUGAGCCAUCUCUACCACUUGGUCUAACUAUAUUAUUUCUAGAUGUUACGUGUUUUUAAGAAGGGGUCCCUUUUCUACUUGCCUCUUCACUGGAAGUUAUCAAGACAAAUUUAGAACUAGGUUCUAUUCAAUCGUCACUCUCGAUUGUCAUUUUACACUUUACCCAUUUUGGCUUUUAAAUGGCUGAGGGAGCUGUCGCUCUUUUCCUUGAGGUGUUGUAUCCAAUAGGAUCAGACAAUCAAAAGAAGUGGUUGACCCAUGUGAUACGACACUCAUUCAGUACUCUAUGAACGGGAAACUUCACGUAGAUGUGUUUUAUAGGGCUCAUAGGGCUGUUAGUGAUUUUUUCUCAGACCAAAACUUUACACAUCAAAAUAUAUUGCAUUAUGUUAUCAGUAAAAGUCAUAUACAAUCAAUGACAAUGAAUAAAUGUGUUAGUAGUUUAUUAAAUUAAUUUUAUUAUUUAAUUUUAUUAAGAAAACAGUAAAGAAAAGUAUGUCAACACAACACAACAAGACAAUUGCAGAUUAAGAACUAUCUACAUAUGGAGUCUCCUUUUUACAGUAGUGCCCAGAGGGCCUCCUUGUCCUCCACGUCAGGUCCUGCCUUGCACAGAGGAGCCAUGAACCCCAGAACACGUGUUCUGAACACGUGUUCUGGGGAACACGUAGUCUGAAUCAUGUUCAGCGCAGAUGAACAUGAUUCAGACUACGGCGUUUAUAUGUUCAACAAUAGGAAACGUAGUCUUAGCUGUUUUAAAAUUACACCAAGUUUAUUUCGGAUUAUUCCAACGGAAGAAUACAAGGCGCAGGGAACUUUGAGGUGCGUAAACGCCACUUAGAGGUGCGUAAACGCUAUUUAUAGGUGCGUAAACGCUAUUUCCAAAUUCUAGAGGUGCGUAAACGGCGUUUACGUGCGUUUACCCUCCACUACAGCCCUGGUCCCGUAUAUUCCUCCACAACUUUUUUUUCCUCGACCGGCAAACCAACGUUUGCCGAGAUCUCCCUCCGUGAAUCGGAGGCCAUCAGAGCGUCCUUAUAGACCGCCAAUGACGGGUUGUAUAAGUGGUCAUAUUUACGCAUUUCUUCCGACAAAAGCUCUUCAAUCUGAUUCUCUCGUAAAAAUUCUUCGUUUUAAUAAUGGCGGUAUUGUGCUAUGAAACCGGAAAUGUGAGACUCCGGAAAGGAUGUAGUUAGCAGACCAAUUACAGCCUUGCGGGCUGCGAGAAGAGUGGAUAUAAACAGCGAGUGGUGUAGUCCGAUAGUGUUGGUACCAAAACCAGAUGGCACCAUUCGCUUUUGUAAUGAUUUUAGAAAGGUGAAAUAUCCAAAUUUGACGCCUAUCCCAUCCCUAAUCGAACGGCUAGGGACAGCCUGCUUUAUCACCACACUGGACCUCACAAAAGGAUACUGGCAGGUGCCCUUAGCUCUUGAGGCACGGGAGAAAACCGCAUUUGCCACCCCGGACGGGCUUUUCCAAUAUAAGAAACUGCCUUUUGGGUGGCAUGGGUCCCCACCGACCUUCCAGAGAUUGAUGGACCGGGUUCUCCGUCCCCAUCGUGAGUAUGCGGCGGCCUACAUUGACUCACCUGUGCACCAGGUGAGUUUGGUAUUACAGGUGUUACGGGAAGUGGGGCUAACGGCGAACCCCACAAAAUGCCGGCUCGGGCUGCAAGAGGCUGAGUACCCCGGAUACACAAUUGGCAGGGGGUGUGUCAAACCCCAAGUAAAGAAAGUGGAAGCAAUCCGCGAUUGGCCCCGGCCCCGUAAAAAAAAGCAGGUACGCACGUUUUUGGGGUUGACUAGCUACUAUCGGAGAUUCAUCCCUCACACACAGCCGCCCUAGCCGGCCCUCUGACAGUUUUGAUCAGGAGCCGCCUGCCCAACCAGGUGACGUGGACCGAGGAGACGGAGAAAGCCUUCCAGAACCUGAAGGGAGCGCUGUGUUCGAGACCCGUACUAGUGACCCCGGACUUCUCCAAACCACUGGUGGUACAGACGGAUGCAUCCGAAUCUGGGGUUGGUGCAGUCUUAUCAAAGCUACAAGAAGGUGAGGAACAUCCAGUAUUGUACAUUAGCCGGAAGCUUUUGCCACGAGAACGAAAAUACUCCACCGUUCAAGUGAGCCCUGGAGAAGCUGAAAUACUACCUGCUGGGACGACACUUCACCCUCGUAACAGACCAUCGCCAUUCAACCCUGUGUGCCCAUAUCUUAACCUACUCCACACUACCUCUUCCCUCUUGCACCCAAUCAUUCCCACAACCUCCUUCACUGACCUAUUUAUACCCCGGAAGUGCCUCCCUUUACCACCUUCACCCCACUGUCUCUCCCACUCUGCAAUCCCUGCUUCCCGUAUCAACAACUUAACCUCCCUGCGCCCUAACGACACCCUUACAUCCACCUCAGUCCUCCUUACAGCACUCUUUGCCACCAUGUCAGCCACCUCAUUACCCUCCACUCCAGCAUGCGCAGGAACCCAGCAGAACCUCACCUCUACUCCCUGUCUCUCCAACCCCAGCAAUAUCCCCAUCAAUUCUCCCAAUAGGUCUUCCCUGUCAGACCUACCAUCCAUAACAGUGCUUAACACUGCUGCUGAGUCUGAACAUAUCAGCACCCUACAUGGUGUCACAUCCUCCACCCAUCUCAACCCAAUGAUCAUAGCCACCAUCUCUGCUGUAUACACCGACACAUUAUCAGUGACUCUUUGACAGAUACUCACACUGAACUCAGGAACAUGCACUCCUGCACCCACUCAGACCACACACCACCUUAGAUCCACCUUAGAGUUAGCGAAACCAGGGACCAUAGUUACAUGUAUACCGGGAGCCAGAGCGGGCGACAUUGAGUCUUAUCUUAAACUGCUGGCUAGGGAUAAACGUAAAUACAGUAAGAUUGUAAUACAUGUCGGCGGUAAUGACUCCCGAUUACAUUGCUCGGAGGUCACUAAAGUUAAUGUGGAAUCGGUGUGUACAUACGCUAAAACAAUGUCGGACACCGUAGUUUUCUCUGGCCCCCUCCCAAACUUGACAAGUGACGACAUGUAUAGCCGCAUGUCGUCAUUCCGCCGCUGGUUGUCGAGGUGGUGCCCAGUAAAUAAUGUGGGCUUCGUUGAUCACUGGAAGACGUUUUGUGGAGAGCCUGGUCUGAUUAGGAGGGACGGCAUCCAUCCCACUUUGGACGGAGCUGAACUUCUUUCUAAGAACCUGACCCAGUUUCUUAGUGGACUUAAUCCAUGACCCAGAGUUCAGACCAGGGAGCAGAGUCGCAGUCUUACACACUUCUCUGCGCUUCAAUCUGAGCAGUCACUCAGCAUAAUGAACCCUAUAGAGACUUCGUCUGCCCCACGGACACACUUAUCUAAGUUAAAGGUAAACAACCGAGGAGUUGUAGUAAAUAACUUAAUUAAAGUUAAAACUAAUAAUGCAAUAGUGCAACAAAAUAGGAGAAUUAAAGGGGGUCUUUUGAAUAUCAGAUCUCUGUCAUCUAAAGCUGUUUUGGUAAAUGAACUAAUAUCAGAUCACCAUGUUGAUGUAUUUUGUCUUACUGAAACGUGGUUGUUGAAUGGGGAAUAUUUCUGUUUAAAUGAAGCGACUCCUCCGAGUCAUGUUAAUACUCAUAUUCCCCGAGGCACAGGCCGAGGGGGGGGGAGUGGCAGCUAUUUAUGACUCCUGCCUUUUAAUAAACUUUAAACCUAAGGUGGAUUAUAACUCAUUUGAAAGCCUGGUUUUCAGUCUUUCGCAACCGACCUGGAAAAUAAUCCAGCCGGUUCUC
ensembl:lncRNA